UAAUUGAAGAGUUUGAUCAUGGCUCAGAUUGAACGCUGGCGGCAGGCCUAACACAUGCAAGUCGAGCGGUAACAGAGA
rnacentral:rRNA from 1 species